rnacentral:misc_RNA from 1 species
AAACCCACAUAGACAUUGGCCCUAUUUAUUGUGGGUGACCACCAAAGAGUAAAUCUUCGAUUGGGAAUUUGAUUUAGACCAGAUCUUUGAGCAUUGGUAAGCUUCUUGUACUUCAUUGAUUCUUCAAAACCAGAUGCCUUCUCCCAAAAGAGACCUUCCCACGUUGGGAAAUAUGUUCCUUUGAACAAAGUAUGCUCAAGAAUUCCCUCAACACCACCAAGAGCUUGGAUAACAUCAGUUCGGUAAUUGUUCAAGUUCCACAGUUUCCCAUCAUGCCUCUGGUGAGUCCACCAGAAAGGAUUUUGCUUUAGAACUUGGUAUUGCUUGAAAUCUGUACGCACUCUCCAUCCUUUGUCAUAUGCAAGAGUAUGACGGUCCUUCUGAAAUAAAGUAUUAAUUCGUGGAAUUCCCCUGUCCCAAGAAUCUUCCAAAUCUUCUAGGGUUAAACGCCUAUUUUGUGCUUGUGCUUCCUGCCUCUUAAGGGCAUACUCUGCCCAUACACGCUGUGAAUCUAUGAACUCGCUCUCCCAUGGCUGAAUGUAGCGAUAAAG